rnacentral:tRNA from 1 species
GGGCGCUUCGUCUAGUGGUAAGACGUCAGUCUCCAAAACUGACUACGUGGGUUCGAUUCCUACAGCGCCCG